UAGAGUUUGAUCCUGGCUCAGGACGAACGCUGGCGGCGUGCCUAAUACAUGCAAGUCGAGCGAACCACUUCGGUGGUUAGCGGCGGACGGGUGAGUAACACGUGGGCAACCUGCCUGUAAGACUGGGAUAACACCGGGAAACCGGUGCUAAUACCGGAUAAUCCUUUUCCUCUCAUGAGGGGAAGCUGAAAGUCGGUUUCGGCUGACACUUACAGAUGGGCCCGCGGCGCAUUAGCUAGUUGGUGAGGUAACGGCUCACCAAGGCGACGAUGCGUAGCCGACCUGAGAGGGUGAUCGGCCACACUGGGACUGAGACACGACCCAGACUCCUACGGGAGGCAGCAGUAGGGAAUCUUCCACAAUGGACGAAAGUCUGAUGGAGCAACGCCGCGUGAGCGAUGAAGGCCUUCGGGUCGUAAAGCUCUGUUGUUAGGGAAGAACAAGUACCGGAGUAACUGCCGGUACCUUGACGGUACCUAACCAGAAAGCCACGGCUAACUACGUGCCAGCAGCCGCGGUAAUA
rnacentral:rRNA from 1 species